rnacentral:rRNA from 1 species
UACAGAGGUCUCGAGCGUUAGGCGGAAUCACUGGGCUUAAAGCGUGUGUAGGCGGAUCGGUAAGUACCUUGUGAAAUCCCACAGCUUAACUGUGGAACUGCUUGGUAUACUGCCAGUCUUGAGCCACUUAGGGGCUACCGGAACAAAUGGUGGAGCGGUGAAAUGCGUAGAUAUCAUUUGGAACGCCAAUGGUGAAAACAGCUCGCUGGGGGUGCACUGACACUGAGACACGAAAGCCAGGGGAGCGAACGGG